GACGAACGCUGGCGGCGUGCUUAACACAUGCAAGUCGAACGGAAAGACCCUGCUUUUGUGGGGUGCUCGAUUGGCGAACGGGUGAGUAACACGUGAGUAACCUGCCCUUGACUUUGGGAUAACUUCAGGAAACUGGGGCUAAUACCGGAUAGGAUCUCCUGCUGCAUGGUGGGGGUUGGAAAGUUUCGGCGGUUGGGGAUGGACUCGCGGCUUAUCAGCUUGUUGGUGGGGUAGUGGCUUACCAAGGCUUUGACGGGUAGCCGGCCUGAGAGGGUGACCGGCCACAUUGGGACUGAGAUACGGACCAGACUCCUACGGGAGGCAGCAGUGGGGAAUAUUGCACAAUGGGCGGAAGUCUGAUGCAGAAACGCCGCGUGCGGGAUGACGGCCUUCGGGUUGUAAACCGCUUUCGACUGUGACGAAGCGUGAGUGACGGUAAUGGGUAAAGAAGCACCGGCUAACUACGUG
rnacentral:rRNA from 1 species